AGAAGACGCCAAAAUCUAAUAAAAGGAAUUGACAGUGUGUAACACUUGAGCUGUGAUUAGCUCAAUAGAACAGUAGCAAUUGAAACACAAAAAAUGAAAAUCAAUAGAAAAGAUAGAAAUUCUUCAUAAUUCCCUAAAUCCUCGUACAGACUCUGAUGAUAUUUAAAGGACAACUAGGACUGAGCUAAUACAAACAAAAGAAAAUAACAGACCCAUUAAUUGAAGGACACGUUAAGGACACGUGGUGAUCUUCUAGAAUGGAGCUUCACUUGAUCUACUAAGGCUAAUACCCAACUGGGCUAACCAACUAAAAAAAAGAAGGCUUUUACUAAUCAAUUGGACUAGGAAAGGAAAGGCCCAACAUACUCCUUAUACUAGAUAAGAGACCCGUCUCUUACAUUCCACUCCCCUUAAAGUAUCUUGACAGAGGUUCAUGGAUUAAAUCCCGGAAAUUGAGAACGGAGAAAUGCAAGAUCCUCCCAUGUAGCUUCCUCUGGCGGCAAGUUUGCCCACUGAACUAACCAUUGUACCGCUGCCCGAUUUCCUUUCUUGAUCAUUCUUCGUUCUAAAAUGGAUAUUGGCUCAGUCAGAAUUCUUCCAUCAUUUGUGUAAUAAGGAGGGUCCCUUGAAGCCACUAUUUGAUCUCCUAUUUUCUUCUUGAGCUGAGACACAUGGAAGACUGGGUGAAUUUUUGAUCUCUCUGGCAAUUUGAGCUCGUAAGCUACUGAACCGAUUUUGUGCACUACCUCGUAAGGUCCGAAAAUCUAGCUGAAAGCUUCAAAUUGCGCUGCAAUGCUACUGAACUUUGUCAGUAAGGCUGCAAUUUCAGGAAGACCCAAUCACCUACUUCAAAUUUCCUCUCACUUCUUCUAUUAUCGGCAAAAUGUUUCAUUCGAUUUUGUGCUCGAAUUAGAUUAUCCUUCAACAUUUUAUCCAUAAGUUGACGCUCCCUCAAUAAGUGAUCCACAAAAUCAACUUUGAUCUGAGCCACCAAUUCAAAUGUGGGCAUUGGAGAUUCAUAGCUGUAGAGAGCCUUAAAAGGAGACAUUCCCAAGGAGCUGUGGAAGUUCGAGUUAAAUUCUGCUUGAGCGAGCCACUUGCUCCAAUCUGUAGGUUUAUGGCCUAUCAUAUAUCUCAAGUAAGUCUCCAAACAACGAUUCAACCUUUCAGAUUGUUCGUCGGUUUGAGGGUGAUAUGCCAAGCUUGGUUUCAAUUGAACCUUAAGACCCUUAAAAAGCUCUCUCCAAAAUGUACUGAUGGAAAUGGGGUCACGGUAUGAUACGAUAGAAGUAGGUAAGCCAUGUAACUUACAUACAUUAUCAAUGAAGACCUGUGCAAUCUGUGAAGCAGUGUAUGGGUAGGUUAAUGCAAAAAAAUAAGAGUACUUGGUGUAUCUAUUGAUUACCACCAGAACUGAAUCUUUUCCUUGUGAUUUUGGCAGACCACUUAUAAAGUCCAUCGCCACAUGUUCCCAAGCUCGAGUAGGAAUGAGAAAUGGUUGUAGCAAGCCUGGGUAAGACACAUUUUCGUCUUUGUUUCUUUGGCAGACCUCACAUUCUCUAAUUUGAUUCUUUACAUCUUGUAAAAUAGCGGGCCAAUAGAAGACAUUCCUGAUGCGUUGUUGAGUAGCUAACCCCCCUGAAUGACCUCCUCAGGAAGAUGUAUGGAACUCUGAAAUGAGUUUCUUCCUUAGCUGACCACUACUCCCGACCCAUAUAUGACCUUGAUGCCUGAUGACACCUUGUUGAUAUUGAACAUCUAGUAUUGAAUUUGGGUCAAUAGAAAGCUUAGCGAUGAGGUUGUGGAUCUGUUGGUCUCCUUCAUAGCUAUCUAUUAUCUCAUUCACCCAACUGGGCUGCACAACUGAAAGCCCAUCACAAGUUCCUUCCUCAAAUUUCCUGGAUAAUGUAUCCACAGCUAUAUUUUCAAUUCCUUUACGAAACUAUAUUUCGUAACUGAGGCCCAAUAGCUUAGUAACACCUUUGUGUUGUAAAGAGGUGGUGAUUAUCUGGUCUUUCAAAAAUAUUAAAUUGAAGUGAUUAGUUUUAAUUAUGAAAUGACUUGGUUGCAAAUAAUGUCUCCACUUAUCAAUGACAUAGAGGAGAGCCGCCAAUUCUUUUUCAUAAGUAGACAGCCCAAGGUAUUUCGUGCUUAAAGAUUGACUCAAAUAAGCAAUAGGUCGGCCUCCUUGUGUCAAAACUGCCCCAAUGCCUCUUCCACUCGCAUCCACUUCAACAACAAAUGGUAUUGUGAAGUUAGGUAAUGCUACCACAGGGGCUUUCACCAUGGCUUGUUUAAGCUCCUCAAAAGCCUGGGUUGCUUUCUCUGUCCAUUGGAAACCGCCCUUUUUGAGUAACUCAGAUAGAGGUUUGCUGAUUAGAGCAAAAUCUUUAAUAAAUUGCCUGUAAUAACCAGUAAGGCCCAAAAAUUCCCUCAACUCUUUGACGGAUUUAGGUACGGGCCAACUCAACAUAGCCUCUACUUUAGCCCCAUCAGUAUCGACUCCUUCAGUAGAAAUAAUGUGGCCUAAAUACUCGAUUUGUUUUUGAGCAAAACUGCACUUUGCCAACUUUGCAAACAAUUGGUUGGCCUUCAAAAGAUCAAAAACCAUCUGUAAAUGCUUGACGUGGUCAUGUAAAGAGGUGCUGUAAAUUAAGAUAUCAUCAAAAAAUACUAGCACAAAUUUCCUUAACAAUGGGCCAAAUAUCUGAUGCAUGAGAGCCUGGAAUGUCGCGGGUGCAUUAGUAAGACCAAAAGGCAUCACUCAAAAUUCCCAAAGCCCGUGAUGGGUUUUAAAAGCAGUUUUGUACUCUUCGCCCUUCUUCAUUCGGAUUUGAUGGUACACCGAACACAAAUCCAGUUUGGAGAAAAACUAGGCACCAAACAGUCCGUCAAGUAAAUCUUCAACAACAUGGAUAGGAUAUUUAUUUUUUUACUGUAAUCUCAUUGAGCUUCCUAUAGUCUACACACAAUCUCCAACUCGAUUCUUUUUUCUUUACCAACAAGACUGGUGAGGCAAAAGGAGAUACACUUGUGGUCACAGUGUUAGCCUUUAGCAUAUCAGCUACAAUCUCCCCAAUGACAUUUUUUUGUUCGAAUGAGUAGCGAUACGGCCUAAGGUUGACUGGUUUAGAACCUGGUAACAACUCAAUUGCGUGGUCACAAGGCCUAGCUGGAGGUAUGGCCUUAGGCUCUUGAAACAAUUCUAAGUAAGUGCUCAUAAGUUUGGUACCUCUUCUGGGAUUUCAUCCCCCGUCUUGAACUUUUCUGCCAACAACAAUUGGGCUACAUAAUUGCAUUGUCCAGUGUAGAGCAACCUCUUGAUCUUUCUAGCAUCCACUUCUAUUGGGGGUUGAAUCACAGUAUAUCCCAGCAAAUGAACCACUUUGGAGUCCCUAAUAAAUGAUAUACUCAGUGGUUUUGUAUGUAAAACAAUAGGUGCCAUAGUGUCAAUCCAGUCCAUUCCUAGUACCAUGUCACAACCCCCUACCUUAACCAAUUUCAUAUCAAAAGUGAACUCCAACUCAUGUAUCUUCCACUUAAAUUGCUUGCUAUGUUCAUGACACCAUACAUACUGACCAUUGGCCACCUUUACGCGCAUUGCUAGGUAAGAAAUCAGUAGGGCUUGACAACAAUGAAACUGUGAGUGGAUCCAUGAAACUGUGAGUGGAUCCACUGUCAAUCAAAAUUAUUAUCUGAUGCUUCUUACCCAACCCAAAAUUUUAAUGGUUGAAGGAGUUUUAUCACGGCCCAUUAUGGCAUUAAUGGACACUUCUCCCUGAUCGUGUCCUUCCACUGCUUCCUCUUGCCCUUCUUCUUGCAAAACCUCAGCAGCAUCGCAAAACUCUUCCCCUUCCGUCGCUUGUACUGCUUUUGAUUUACACUGGUGACCGGAUGAUAUUUGUCUAGACACUUAUAACACAGGUUCUUUGCACGCAUUUCUUCUAAGGACAUUUUUCGGUUUGCUGGGCUUUUAAGGGUAACAACAUUAGGGCUUUUUACUGGAUCUAGGGGGAAAGUGGGCUUGGAAAAUUGUGUAGAAAGUUUCUUGGUCCAUUGAGAAUACAUUUGCUGGUAAAGGGCAUUGAAGGAUUGUUCAUGAAGCUUGGCAUAGUUAUAAGCAUCCAUCAAUGUUCUGGAAUUAGCAUACUCUACUAAUGGCAGAAUAUCAGGUUUCAAACCCCCAAUAAAGCACUCCACAAAAUAGGAUUCACGCAACGAUGGUUAUUCAAGGAAAUUAAACAUCUUAAUUCUUCAAAUCUUUGUUGAUAACUUUCAACAUCAUCAAUUUGUGACAAACGAUUAAACUCUGAUGUCACCCCUACGGGUCUGUUGUUGCCAAAUCGUUUACACACAUCCACACAAAAGGUAGGCCACGCCACAUGACCACCCCUAUCAAGCACGUAGUUGUCAAACCAGUUGUCAACAAAAUCUUUCAAGUGUAUUGCAACUUAAAUCAUUUUAGUGUCAUCAUGAACUUGAUACAACUCAAAAUAUUUGUUACACCUACGAAUCUAGCUGCGUGGAUUAAGUUCAUCAAAUUUCGGAAAAACUAGUUUUGCUAGUGGCAGUUUAAGAUGAUGUAACUAGGCCCUAUACCAAUUCAGAGUAUUCGAAGUGUGGUUAGACCAACCAAUAGCUGGUUGAUUGAAUGGUCCAAACGGAACUACUGGGCCCUGAGAAUAAUACUGACCAUAUGACGAAGGCACCUGAAUUUGGUUGGUCUCAUAUAGUGGAUUUGUCAGAUAAAAAUUAUUUGUGGGCCGGUAAGCUGUUACAGGGGAGUUCAGGGGUUGACAUGAAGGUGAAGAUGAAGAUUGGCCCAAUGAAACAAAAAGAGCGGUGCUGGGCGAUGUAAAAGCUACAGCUGAAGGGUUCAAUGGGUGGGAUGAUAAUGGAGUGUGAAUUUGGCUAGAAGAAAAAAUAGGGUUCAUUGGAAAGGGCUGGUUUAACGGAAAUGAUGAAGGUGUGUGUGAGACGUUACUUGUAGUGGUGCCGGUGGUUGUUUGAGAAGGAGUUGAAGUGUUAGAGUGAUAAUUACCAGCAACUGAAGACUGCCCAGAUUCCAUGGCAAAAGCACCGAAGCUCAUCAUUGCUGGUGAACUGGUGGAGGCCACCGAACCUUGAGUUUUGUUCAAGCUUAGCUGCAUCAGUAUCAUUUCUUGCAUUUGUUUAGUGGAUUCCGCAAGAUCCAACAUCUUUGUUUCAAAAACAUUCUGUCGUUCAUCCAUCUUAUCGAAUUUCUUUGCGGUAUCAACAAUAAAUUCUUGGAACUGAGAUUCCAAUUGUUUGACGGCCUCAUCCAUCGGAGCACCACGUUGUUUAUCGACCAUCGCUGCCAAGAUUCAGGCUCUGAUACCAAAUGUAACACUUGAGCUAUGAUUAGCUCAAUAGAACAGUAGCAAUUGAAAGACAAAAAUGAAAAUCAAUAGAAAAGAUAGAAAUUCUUCAUAAUUCCCUAAAUCCUUGUACAGACUCUAAUGAUAUUUAAAGGACAACUAGGACUGAGCUAAUACAAACAAAAGAAAAUAACAGACCCAUUAAUUGAAGGACACGUUAAGGACACGUGGUAAUCUUCUAGAAUGGGGCUUCACUUGAUCUACUAAGGGUAAUACCCAACUGGGCUGACCAAUUAAAAAAAAGAAGGCUUUUACUAAUUAAUAGGACUAGGAAAGGAAAGGCCCAACAUACUCCUUAUACUAGAUAAGAGACUCUGUCUCUUACAGAGUGCGCCUGGAGAAUGGAUAAGUGAUAAAUAUGGUAUUGUGAAAGAACUGGAAGAUUUUUAUAGUGACUUGUUUACUUAUUCCUGUCUUUCAGACUUACUGAGAAUAUUACUGCAUAUACCUAUUACCAUAGAUGAAAAUAUGAAUCAAGGUCUUCUUUCUGAGGUCACAGACGAAGAAAUUAAAGUUGUUGUUUUCUCAAUGCAACCCACAAAAUCACCUUGUGUAGAUGGAAUGACGCCUCUAUUUUUUCAAAAGUUUUGGUCUUUAAUCUCUAAUGAUGUGUGUUCAGUGUUAGGUAUUUCUUUGAAACAGGAAAUCUUUUGCCUCAUUGGAAUCAAACAUUGAUAACUUUAGUUCCAAAAAUAAAGACACUUACUACUAUACAUCAUUUUAGACUUAUUAGCUUGUGUUCUACUUUUUAUAAAAUAAUUGCAAAAGUUUUGGCAAAGCGUAUGAAACCUUUGAUUCCUUCAAUAAUUUCUCCAAAUCAGACCACUUUUGUGGGAAAACGAUAAAUUAUGGAUAAUGUUGUCUUAGCACACGAAUUCAUGGGACUAUUGAAGAAUAAAAGAAAGGAAAAGAGAAUCUGAUGGCAUUAAAAUUGGAUAUUUCAAAAGCAUACGACCGUGUGGAAUGGAUUUAUAUCCAACAUAUGAUGCACAAGAUGGGUUUCCAUAGGAAGUUUGUAGAUUGGAUCAUGACAUGUGUGACUACUACAUCAUUUUCUUUUAAUCUAAAUGGGGAAAUUGUAGGUUCUGAAGCCAUCUAGAGGUUUGAGACAAGGUGACCUUCUAUCACCCUAUCUUUUUUUAAUUUGUGCUGAGGGUUUAUCAAUAAUGUUGCAUUUAGCUAGGGGCGGCCCGACAUAUUUUGGGGCCUAAAGUCAAACUUUAAUGAGGGGCCUUAAUGUUUUUAAUUUUUUUAUUAUUUGAAUUCAAGUUUUCUAGCUUUUUUAGAUGUAAAGUUACUAAUAAUUUUUUUAUAAUCAAUUUCUCCUAAUAAGUCUUUCUCAAUUGACAAUAUAGCUAACCCAUUUAAUCUCUCUUGAGACAUAUUUUAUUAAUUUUAAUUUUGAAAAGCUUCUUUCCGCUGAAGCAACGGUAACGAGAAUUGUUAAUAUUAUUCUAUAAGCAAUAUAUGCAUUUGAAAAAGAAUCAAGUCUCUUUAUUUGAUUGAGUAUAUCGAUUAAACUAUUAUCUUCUACUUGUACUAUUUCUCUUAAUACUUCAACUCAGUAAAUAAAUCUAAACCAUCAAUAUCGGAUUGAUUAUUAUGCUUUAAGAAAAGUUCAAGAUUAAGACAAUGUGUUUUAAAUUUCCAUCAUCUAGUAAUCUUAGUUUUUUACCACUAAAUAGAAAACCAAAUAUAUUUUCAUAUGCUUCAAAUUGUUCAAAUCUAUUUUGAAGUGAAAAAAUAGCCUUGUCUACUAUGUAUAAAAAGUUAUCAACUCUAAAGGACUCUUCAAGAGACUUUGAGAUUUCAUUAUCAUCAUUCUUAUCAAAUUUUUUCUUCUUAGAUAUCACACAUUUUUACGAAAUUCGGGUUCAAUAUUCAUUUCAAAUGCAAUUUCCUUGGCAGAAAUCAUAGCAGUUGCAAAUCCUUCUUCUCUAUAUUUGUUAAAAAAAAGAAAUCAAACCUUUUAAUUGAUCUAUGGCAACAUCAAUAUGCAUGUCUUUUGACUGCAUAUUUUACUAACUGAAUUAACAACAAAUAAUAUAUCAUACCAAAUAGUCAUACCCAAUAAAAAUUCAAAAUUUUCGAGUUCAUAUGUUACUAAGCAAUUAGCUUCACUUUUUAGUUUUUGGAUCAUCACUAAUUUCUACUAAUAUCAAUAAAGCAUCUUUUAUUUGUGGAGUUUGAAAUCUUAUUGCUUUAAUGCUUUCAAUACGACUUUCCCAACAAGUUUGUGACACUGAUUUAAGAGUUAGACUGGGUUCACUAUCCUUUAAUAUUUUCCAUCGCUUAGUAGAAGAUGAAAAUAGUGAAUAUAUACAUUGUACCACUUCAAAAAAUGAUAUAGCUUUUGUACAAGAAUUAGCCAUAUCACAAAGUAAUAAAUUUAGAUUGUGACAACUACAUGGUGUAUAAAAUGAUCUAGGAUUUACAUCAAGAAGUCCUUUUGCACUCGUUGAUGUUUUCCUUCAUAUUUGACCAUUAUCAUAUCCUUGCCUUCUUAAGUUAUUAAUAUCAAGUCCAAUAUUUUUUAUUUCAUCUAUAAUAACUUCAAUGUAACGACCCGACCUGUCGUUUUUAGCAUUUCCAUCUCGUUUAGCUAUUUGAAGUCUUGAGUAGUGUUGUUUUGUAUAUUAUGACUUGCGAGAGUGGUCAAGUUUUAUUUUCAGAUGAUUCAAAAUUUAAUGGAAAGAAUAAUUCAUGUUUUGGAAGCUUAAGUUGAAUAAAUGGACCGGAUGACAAAAUAUGUGUAAAUGAUCCCGAAAUGAAUUUUUAAUGAUUCCAAUAGCUUCGUAUGGUGAUUUUGGACUUAGGAGCACGCCCAGAAUUCUUUUUGGAAGUCUAAAGUUAAAUUAGGUUUGAAAUGGCAAAAAUAGGAAAUUUGAGUUUGGAAGUUUGAUUGAGGAGUUGACUUUUUGAUAUUGGGAUCAAAAUAUGAUUCUGAAAAUUGAAACAGCUUCGUUAUAUCAUUUAUGACUUGUGUGCAAAAUUUGAGGUCAAUCGGAAUUGAUUUGAUAGGUUUCGGCAUCGAAUGUAUAAAUUGGAAUUUGUUAGUUUUGAAUAGGCUUGAUGUGACGACCUGGCCAGUCGUUUGAUGAGUUACCGCUCCGUUUCUCCCAUUUAUGCUUCUUUAUGCUUAGUUAUCCGUGUUUUAUGGUAUCGGGUUGGUCGGAUCGAAUCCGGAAUGAUUCUGGUAAGGUUUGAGACACUUAGUCUCUUUUAAGGGAGUUUGAGUUGGAAAAGUUAACCAGAUGUUGACUUAUGUAUUAGGAGGACUCGGAUGUGAGUUUUAGUGGUUCGAUUAGCUUCAGGAGGUGAUUCAUGACUUAGGAAGGUGAUCAGAACGGUUUUUGGAGGUUCAGAGUAGAAUUAGGCUUGAAUUGGUGAAGUUGAUAUUUUGGCGAUUUCCAGUCGAUAGGUGAGAUUUUGAUAUAGGGAUCGGAAUGGAAUUCCAAGAGUUGUAGUAGUUCCGUUGUGUCAUUUGUGAUGGAUGUGUGUGCAAAAUUUCAGGUCAUUCAGACGUGGUUUGGUUGAGUUUUUGAUCAAAAGCGUAAUUCAGAAGAAUUUACAAAGUUUGGCUUGAAUUCGAUGUGUUUUGGAUCAUUUGAUGUUGUUUGAGGUGUUUUGAUGAUUGGAACAAGUUUGAAUAAGGUUUUAGGAUAUGUUGGUGCCUUUGGUUGAGGUCCUGGGAGCCUCGGGUGAGUUUCGGGUGGUCUAUCGGAUCAUUUUUGGAGUUAGGAAAUUGUAGAAAAUCUGUUCAGCUGUUGCAGAGAUUUUACCCUUCGUGUUCGCGACUGGAGCCUCGCAUUCGCGAAGAGGCAGGUGAGGAAGGCAAGGAUUAAGGCUUAGCGUUCACGGAGGGCUGGGAAGUGGUGCAUCGCGUUCACGAGAAGAUCUUCGCAAUCACGUAGAGGAAUUUGGGUCAGAUGAGUUCGAGGUCAAGUGUUCAUCGCUUUCGCGGAAGGGUGAGCGCGUUCGUGAAGGGUAAGGUAGAGGAAGUAUCGCGUUCACGAUGGUCAUGUCGUGUUCGCAUAGAGGAAAAGUUGGUCAAAGUAAGUUUGUGCUUCGCGAACGCGAGGGUUUGACCGCGUUCGCGAAGAGGAAGAUAUGCCUGGGCAGAAAUGUUUUUAAACUCGUCUUGUCCGCGAGGAUUGAGUUUAUUUCCUCCAUAGUUGGUCAUUUUGGGAUAGGAGAUUGAAGAGGGAUUCAAGGGGAAUCGUUGGGAUGUAAGAUUUUUGGACUUAAAACUCGAUUAUUAUGUGAAUUCCACCUAGAAAAUCAUAGAAUCUAUGCCUAAAAUUGAAGAACUAGGUCUUGAAAUUUGAGACCAAACAUUUGGGAUUUGAAGGGUCAUUUGUGGAUGGAAUUUGAUGUUCUUGGUAUGUAUGAAUCUCGUGGGGAGAUAAGGAAUCUAUUGGUGUAAAAAUUUCUAAAUUUCGAGAUGUGGGCCUGGGGGUCGGGUUUUGGUAAUUUCAGGAUUUGUGCCCUUUGUUGAUUAUUUUCACUUGGGCUUUGUUCCCUUAGCAUAUGUUGACGUCCUCCUUCUAAUUUUAGAUAGAUUCGAUGUGCGUGGAGGCCGAUUAUAGGGUCAAAGGCAUCAUUAUCUAGAGAUUUAGCCGGUUCGAGGUGAGUAAUGAUUGUAAAUGAUGUUCUGAGGGUUUGAAACCCCGAAUUGCAUAUCGUAGUGCUAUAUUGAGGUGAGACACACGCUUGAUGGCGAGCGUGGGGUCGUACACUGUUGGGGAUUGUGACUUGGUCCGUCCCAAAUGACUANNNNNNNNNNNNNNNNNNNNNNNNNNNNNNNNNNNNNNNNNNNNNNNNNNNNNNNNNNNNNNNNNNNNNNNNNNNNNNNNNNNNNNNNNNNNNNNNNNNNNNNNNNNNNNNNNNNNNNNNNNNNNNNNNNNNNNNNNNNNNNNNNNNNNNNNNNNNNNNNNNNNNNNNNNNNNNNNNNNNNNNNNNNNNNNNNNNNNNNNNNNNNNNNNNNNNNNNNNNNNNNNNNNNNNNNNNNNNNNNNNNNNNNNNNNNNNNNNNNNNNNNNNNNNNNNNNNNNNNNNGGGCCUAGUGCCAACUAUUUGAACCCUUCGGGGAUUUUCAUUGCUAUUUCCUCACUCUUUUGACUUAAUACUUGAACUCAGUCAUGUUAUUUUCCAUUGUUUUCAUACUCAGCCAUGUUUACUUAGUUUUAAGACUUAAAUGAUAUUUUAAAUCAUAUUUGGGACUGAGCAUCAUGUUUUACUAUUGCCUGAGUGGCUUGUAAUAAUUUUUGACUAAGUAAGGCUGAGGGCUUGUGUUGUGAGGAUACUUUUGGGUCGGGCUACACGCCGCAUCGGUGAUACACUGAUUUUGAUUAUGGGGCUGAGGGCCUGAGAUAUGUACGCCACGAGGUGGCUUCUUGAUUUGAGGCUAAGAGCCUAGAGAUGAUGCCACGAGAUUGCUUGAUAUUGCGCUUGGGCCGUAAGGGGCCCCUCCCGAAGUCUGCACACCCCUAGUGAGCGCUGGUACCCAUUGUGAUGUGAGAUUGAGCUCGAGGGGCUUCUAUUGUUCUGAGAUAUUGCCCGAGGGGCAAACUUCUAUUUGUUUACUUUACCUUAAUUACCUGUCAAUUACUUGUUUACUUGUUGAAGGAGGAUUUACUUGACUUUUUGCGGUUUUUCUGCGUUUAAAUGGUUUUACUGAUUCAUUAUAGAAUGCCUUGUGCCUUACGUGUUUUCUUACUUUAAGUUGUUAUUUACAUUUGUUAUUCACUAAGUUGGAGUACUCACUUUACUCCCUGCACCCCUGUGUGCAGAUUCAGGCGUAGCUGGUUUCGCUCCCGA
rnacentral:lncRNA from 1 species